GUAUUUCUGUCGAUCAAAAACAACAGGGGGAGGGAUAAAUCGUUUAUAAAUUCGUUUAUAAUGUAUUUCAACGGUUUUGGUGCACCUCUCGUGUGUCCUAAUGAUGUAAAAAUGUGUCACGCGUGCAUCGUUUAUUUAUUCCGUGUCUUGGGCGUGAUGAAAUGAUUAUCGAGAGAAAAAUGUUCAAUUACCAAACUGGACUCGUCUGGGGAAGCCAAACUUAGCAACAGCACGCUCACGUUCACGGUCAAGGUUCCUGGAACACAGUGCACCAUUGAAAUUAAAGUUCACCAGGCGUCUCGUUCGAAGCGGUUCAUCAAGAAGAGCACGCUAAUUCGAAAGAAAACAUUCUUCGGAGGGGAGACAUCUCGCGUCGGGAAAGGAAUAAUUAGAUAACUUUUUUCAAAUUAAACAUCGUUUGCAUAAAUAUCGAUAUUUAUCGAUCGCGAGAUUUUCGAGUCGCGUUCUUUCGGAAUAAAAGUUUCAAAGUUAAAAUUUUCGGUUUAAAUUCGAUAUCUGUACCACAAUAUUUAAAGAUCGUUUUAAAAUGAAACCACUAUUUAUGAAGGAAUGCACAAUUUUCAAGCAUUUCAGGUUGAGAAUCACAGGAGUCUUGUUUAAAUGUACAAAAUAACCAGUAGAAUAUUAGCGACUGCGCAUGAUGAUGUUUCUAACGUAUUUCGUAGCUCGACGUUUCUGAUUGGUCGAUUUGGUAGACCAAUCAUAAACCUCGAAACUUUUAUUUCAAAAGAACACGGUUCAUACUCGAAAACCGGAACGAUAUAUCGAUUUAAUUUAUUUGAAGCAGUGGCAAAAAGCAAAAAAAAAUAAUCUCGAUUCUUUCCCUGACUCGAGCGAGUGUGAUUUCUAAAAAUACAAAUCACGUGGUCGAUCAACGUAUGGUAUUAUCCGACCAAUUAAACUCGAUCUCAAAAAUUAACAUAUUUUUCUCUCUCUACGCGAGCGUAAGCCAGAUUACUGUUAUUGCGUAAGCGUAAUUAGAGCCAUGCUGUGCACAUGCCGCGACUAAAUUCAUGUUUUUGUAUUUCGUGUGAAAAGCACGCAAACUCGGAGAGUUAGGACUCGAAGAACCGGUCGUCGAAGAGGCGCGACACAACGAUGUGACGUUCGAUAGAGAAAGAGGAUCGCUCGCAAAACAGAUAACGGAAACGGGAAACGGAAACGGAGAUAGAAUUGGGAACGGAGGAGCGAAAGGAAACGAAAGUGAUCGUUGCUGCGAUGCUCAAACUGCGCGUUUCAAUUUAGUUUGCCACGUCUAAUCGAUAAUGUAGGAUUGUGAAGUAUCCUUCGAGUGAAACGGCCAAUUACCACGUGUGUCAUGCGUCCUAACGAGUCCCAACCACCGAUUCGAUAAUUUGCCAACACAUUCAACUACGAAAAAGAAAGAUACGUGAGAGACCGCGAGUGUGUAUAUGUACGUGUGUAUGUGUAUGUGUGUCUAUUUAAAGUACGCCGAUGUGUGAGAUAUACGGUGGGUGGAAAUAUGGAAUAAGGAUGGAAGUAUAGUGAUUAUUCAGAAAUCGUAUCGACGAUCGAGGAACAGUCUGUUGGCACCAGCUAUCUUUUCGCACCGAAUUUACGAAAAAUCUGUAUACGUUAUCUUACGAGAGAACAUUCGUCUAACCUGAUUUUAAUUAAAUCCGUACGUCCAUAAUAUGAAUUAUUAUUGUUUCUUUUUUCCAAUCAAUCUUCGAUUCUUUGAACAAUUUCUCUCGGAAACAUUUUUUUUCAACGAGGGUAGAGAUUAAAAAAAAAAAAAUACCGAUGUUUAGAAAUAGAAUAUUUGAAUUAUUAAAAUUAUAACGCAUUACAUACUCGCAAAAUACUCGCAAAUUUCGUGUAAAAUAGAAUUAAAAUAGAAAAUAGAAUCGUCGCUUUCGAUAAAAUGAUACUCGUUCCCGCGCACAAGACUCGAAGAAUUUCGCGACCGAAAUCUAUCUUUUCAGCUAUAGUUAUAACUCCGCUUUCGAAAUAUAUAUAUUCGCACAUUUCAAUUACGCUGCAAUGAAAAAUAGAAAAAAAAAAAAAAAAAACAAAAUCGAUCGACGCGUUAGCGAACACAAAGCUAGUUUUUUGAUAACAACCGGUGUGUGUAUGUGUGUAUGUGUGUAUCAUUAUGCCGAUGAACGAGCAUUAAUCGGUGGGGCACAUCGAACACGAACCGGACUAAAGAAAAUAACGUUAGAUAUUUAACGUUGUGUAUCUUGCGUCGGUCGAGAGAAGAGAGUGGUUAGCGAGAAACAAGCAAUCGACGACAGUGGCGCCUCUUUUGUCGCCUCAAUUGGAAAACGGUUCCGUGGCGGACGAAAGCGAGGGAGACACCGACGAUGCACACACGCGAUUUCGAAACCUCGCUUUCCUUCUCGCAUCCGCUCUGUGAACAAACGAGGUGCCGGCGCUCGAGGGCGUCGUGGCAACUUUCCACGUUUCCUCCAAUAGGGGAUUCUUUUGUCACGAGUUUCUCUCUGAAAAGAUGAAACGUUGCCUUUCCGGAUAGCCGCUUUACACGGAAAAAAAAAGAAAGUAAAAAAAAAAAAAGAAAAAAUAAAAAAUCACUUGUGUCGAAAUAUUAGUUUAUUAACUGAUCGGUAUCACGUGACACUUCGAGCUCUUCGUCGCAUUGCUUAUUAAUAGACUAUAUGGACUUUUACGACAUAAAUGAAUAAUAUUAUAUAUUUUUCUUUCGAUAUUAAUUCGUAUUUGUACGAUAAUAUUACAAGUAAUUUGUUAAGAAGAAUAAUUAAGAAUUUAUUAAUUUUAUAAAAUUUAAUCAAUUUUCACGAAACUUUGAUAAAUCAUAUGAUUAUGUAAUUUUAAUUUUUUUCUUAUCUUUUCUUCAUAUUGUAAAAUUAAACAUGGCCAAGAUGUACAUUCUCAUCGAACGUGUUAAUUACUUAACUACUAUUGUAUUUUGAAAUUGGAUCAAGUGAAUUUGCACGUGUCAAUUUAGAAUAGAUAUUUAUGCUCGCCUCAUCCAAAGUCGCACCAAUAUUAUUGUACUUCAAACGUAUCUCGAACAUCUGCAUACUUCGGGCACGAGAUUUGGCACGUAACAAGCGUUUCCAUCGCGAACAUCUUGGCAUAGCGGGCCUCUUCAGGAAUGUUUAAUUAAUAUUGCUUAGUUAAAUUGCAUCAAAGUUACGUGUUGGCCGAGAAAUCAAGAAUUUAAAAAUGUUUCAAAAAUACAAUAACGAAUUUCAAAUUUUUUCGAAUCAUACUUCGUUUCACUUAUCCAUAUUAUCCUUACUUGUUCGAGAUUAGAGAGGAGACGAUUUUUCUCGAUUUAUUCGCCUUGUUAAUUUUUUUUUCUUCUUAUUUUACGAUCGAUCGAAAAUCUUCUUCGACAAAAUUAAUCAAUUAUAAUUUAUCCAAUUACACGUAUAAUAAUAUAUCUCGCUAUUAUUUUCGCGACAUCGGUUUAAUCGUUCAACACGUAAAAAACUUGGACAAUUACAGAUAAUUCCGGGUGUAACAAAAACACUGCUAAUCGGAGAAAACACGUUGAAUUAUCGAGAAACGAUCGACGGAUAUCGUGGAUAUCGAGAAUGAGAGUGAAGAAUUGCUCGAAGAACAAACAAAGGCGUACAAAUCGUACAAAACUACUGUACAUAAUUAUUUCGAGUGAGUUUGCUUACGCGUGCUAGCUGCAAACUACUAGAGCUGGCAUCGCAACGAUCUUUUUAACCGUAAUCUCUGCCUCUGAAUUUAAAUUACAAGCCUCUCCCUACAAUGCAAAAAGCUCGUCCAAGCGGAAUUCGUUCCUCGUGUAAAGAGAAACGAAUGGCCGAAUUUAGGCGGAUCCGUUUCGGUUUUUUGCUCUCCCUUCCUUCCUUCCUCCCCCCUCUCUUGCCUCCUCCUUGCUCUCUCUUCGAAUCCACGUCGCUCGUCGGCCAGAAAAUAACCAAUCCGGUUCCAAGAUACGCGGACGCGUAUCGAAAACAGUUUCUCUCUUGUUUGUUUAAAUGAUUAAUCGGCUGGAGCCAAGUCAAUUUACGUUUCGAGCGAAUCUCUCCCGUGUUUAUCCAUCGGUUCGGGUUCACAUAAAGCGUGGUCGCAAAUAUUUUCACGUGACGCGGGAAACACGGUCGUAAACUUUAUUGCUUAAUUUUUCUCGACUGUUCGCUUUGUUAAUUUUCGAUAAUUAAAAGGGAGACGGAUAGGACGGUUAAAAAAUUUUUCGUCAUUAAAUCGAAUCGAGGAAGAUGAACAGCAAAAAAAUAGGCAAAAUACUCUCACUCUGUUCCAUCUGUUCUGCCGUUACAUUCUGAAGCAUAAUAAAGAAUAAAGUUACUUCGAUAAUUUUUUGUUCAAAGCAAUAAUAAUAAUAAUAAUUGCAAAUAAUCGUGAUGCGAAAUUGUCGAGUUUAUGUAUUAUAAAAAGCUGAUCGAUUGUAAUAAUUACGAGGAAUAAAUGUUACUUAAGCGUAAUUAAAUAAUUAAUAUCGCUUAAACUUUCCUAUCCGAAAGUUUUAACUUUUUCAACGGAGUUAAGCCGCUUAAUUCUGUCUCGCGUGCACACGUUGUUAUUAUUGGAUAAAAUUCUACGAUGGAACGACGAUGGUUUUACAGCCUAUUGACGUAAAGCCUCUCGAUCAAACAAAUUCGUUAGUCCAUAUACUUUACAAUUCACAACCCAUCGCCAGUGUGAAAUCAUUCUAUUUCUGUCUCGACACGCGCAUCAUUGACCUUUAUCACCUCAAUUCGAUCCGUCUUCCCGUUUAUCUCUCUUCUUUAUCGACCGAUCCACCGUGUCGACGUUCGAUGACAGGCUUUACACUCAUAUCGACAAAUUUUUUUUUUUUUUAAUUAUCUCCAUCUUUGUCACUGUCCCCUCUGCCAAUAACAACAACGCGCGUGACAACAGAGGAAACGCGUGGAACAGAGAGCACUUUCAAACGCAAAUACGCGAAUUCGUACGAUGGAUUAAAGCGUUAUCCUCAUUUUCUCGAGAGGAAAUCCGCGGUCGAUGACGAGAGAGGUGGAAUUCGAUUUUCCAAAGCUGUAUUCGUAAACAGUGAUGGAGAGGCGGCAUCGGUCAGACGGGUCGCCCCAUUCGGCCAGUUUCGUCACUUCGGUAUCGAAACGGAUCAGAUCUCUCUCUCUCUCUCUCUCUCUCUCAUUCAUACCCUUUUCUUUCACUCCAUCUCCAUCCUUCUUAUUACUUAUUAUUUUUAACCUCUCCCCCCUCCUUUUAUAUCAUUCCAACUCUCUUUCUCUCAUAUUCGUAUUCAUCGACAAGCGCAACUCUUUCGUUCUACUUUCAUAACGAUCUUUUCAAGCAAAAACGCGCAAACUCAGUCGACGCAGGCACGCAACGCACGCGAAGUAGUAAGUAAGUAAGUAAGUAAGUAAGUAAGUAAGUAAGUAAGUAAGUAA